UUUGCUUUGAGAUGAUAUCCUUGGAUUCAAUGGACAAACUACAUGUAGCAACCAGACAUGUUUUUAUUUCCAAGAAUGCUUGUAAUGAGCUGGUCAAAAAAUUCAUAGGACACAGGGUGCUAACGAUGGUUUAUAUUAAAACAUAAUAAAUGUACAUGGAGAAGUUAAAUCAAAGGGGAAACGUGAAGAAGCAUAGUCUCCAAUCAUGCUUGUUUCGCGUGGUUAUGGAAGUGGGUCGUUUGUAGAAAGAGUAAGGGAUGCCAUUUAAACAUAUUAAAUGAAGAAGGAGACAAAAAGUAAAAAAGGAUUCAAAACAUGGAGAAUUGGAGCCCCUUUAAUGUUCCCGCCCCUUGGCUGUGAAAGAUCAUCUGACAAAUGAGAGAGAAUUAAAGUUCAGUUUGUGAUGGUACUGAAAUAAUAUCUACAAUGGUGCUGCCUUUGCUGUUUUUGUCUUCAUCUUGCAACGUUAUGCAGUUAAUUUUCAAGGGAUGAGUGAGAGCAACUGAAGAUUUAUGCGAAUUCUACUGAAAUAACAAAUUUUCUGCAUUGGCAUUCCUCUUGGAUUUGAUUUGCUUUUCACACCUGCAAACUUUGGAACAU